GACGAACGCUGGCGGCGUGCUUAACACAUGCAAGUCGAGCGGUAAGGCCCUUUCGGGGGUACACGAGCGGCGAACGGGUGAGUAACACGUGGGUGACCUGCCCUCAGCUCUGGGAUAAGCCUGGGAAACCGGGUCUAAUACUGGAUAUGACUCCAUGACGCAUGUUGUGGGGUGGAAAGCCUUGUGCGGCUGAGGAUGGGCCCGCGGCCUAUCAGCUUGUUGGUGGGGGUGAGGCCUACCAAGGCGACGACGGGUAGCCGGCCUGAGAGGGCGACCGGCCACACUGGGACUGAGACACGGCCCAGACUCCUACGGGAGGGCAGCAGUGGGGAAUCUUGCGCAAUGGGCGAAAGCCUGACGCAGCGACGCCGCGUGAGGGAUGACGGCCUCGG
rnacentral:rRNA from 1 species